rnacentral:rRNA from 1 species
AAUAGAUACCCAGGUAGUCCACGCCGUAAACGGUGGGCACUAGGUGUGGGCAACAUUCCACGUUGUCCGUGCCGCAGCUAACGCAUUAAGUGCCCCGCCUGGGGAGUACGGCCGCAAGGCUAAAACUCAAAGGAAUUGACGGGGGCCCGCACAAGCGGCGGAGCAUGUGGCUUAAUUCGACGCAACGCGAAGAACCUUACCAAGGCUUGACAUACACCGGAAACGUCUGGAGACAGGCGCCCCCUUGUGGUCGGUGUACAGGUGGUGCAUGGCUGUCGUCAGCUCGUGUCAUGAGAUGUUGGGUUAAGUCCCGCAACGAGCGCAACCCUUGUCCCGUGUUGCCAGCAGGCCCUUGUGGUGCUGGGGACUCACGGGAGACCGCCGGGGUCAACUCGGAGGAAGGUGGGGACGACGGUCAAAGUUAUCAUGCCCCUUAUGUCUUGGGCUGCACACGUGCUACAAUGGCCGGUACAAUGGGCUGCGAUACCGUGAGGUGGAGCGAAUCCCAAAAAGCCGGUCUCAGUUCGGAUUGGGGUCUGCAACUCCG